rnacentral:snoRNA from 1 species
AUGAGGAAGGGUGGCGUCCCUGAGCUCUGUGCCGUGAUGAUGCCUGCGAUGGCUGA